rnacentral:lncRNA from 1 species
UUAGAAGUCAUGGACUUGGCCUUGCUCGUCAUCCUUUGAUUUUUCUAUUGUGGCCACCAGUCAAUUAAAGAUUGUGGCUUAACUUAUAAGGUGAAAUCUUGGUCCGUGUUGCAAGAAUAACCAAAUAAUCCUUGUCUUCUGUGAAAUCAGAAGUUACUUCUAAACUGCAAGAGAGCUUAUUACACCUGUUCUGAAUAAGCCUGAUAAACACUAACACCUGACCAUUGAGUAGGAUGGAGAUGUGGGGACAUCCUGCAGCCAGGAUGCAUGACCUGGCUACGAAAGGACUGCAGAUACAGUAACUUUGAGAAGCACUUAACUCACUGUUAAAUGUUUAAAAGGAGAGAGUACAUGAGCUAGAGAUUUUCCUUUGGCAUAAACAUAUCUUAGGCUGUGGCGUUCUGUUGUAAGUCACAUGCAAUGGCAUUGAGAAGGGACAGUGAGGCAGGUGCAUGGUCUGACCCUGAGGUUCUCAUUUCUGGAGUCACUUUCUCUGCAUGGACUGUGGAUAAUAGCAGCAUAAUGGAAGUUGACACCUUUUGGCCCGUGCACCUCUAACCCUCAAAUGAUGGCCACAAAUAUGAACUCAUUCAAAUAAAGAGUUUUACAUCUGUCAAGUUAUAAAUACAUAAAGCAGCAACUCUGUUAUUCAGUUGUGUUGAAAAGAAGUUGAAAAGCCCCUGAACUGAAACAUGGUUGCCAUUAGAUAAGAUACAUUUUUAAAGAGCAUACUCUUAUUUUAAGAAAAUACCCUUCAUUUUUUUCCUGUCUCUUAUUAUUCAAACAGCAGCAGAUGUUAACUUCGAUAAAACCUACCCAUUCUUACAAUACUGUAUGUGUUACAUGUACAUAUUUCCUCAGAUCUGAUCACCUAUAGGCAAGCUGGUUACAUCUAAUGAUCUGUUUAAUCAUCAAGCUCUCGUGUUUCAGGGCUAGGGGCUUGCAUGAAGCUCCCUGCAUUUCUAGAAGAGUCGUCAAAAUCAGAAUGGUAUUGGUUAAGCUAAUGAGUCCUACAAACAGACAGCUUUUCAUAUUUCAGUUCCAUGACCAAAACACCAGGUAG